AUUGAACGCUGGCGGCAGGCCUAACACAUGCAAGUCGAGCGGUAGAGAGAAGCUUGCUUCUCUUGAGAGCGGCGGACGGGUGAGUAAAGCCUAGGAAUCUGCCUGGUAGUGGGGGAUAACGUUCGGAAACGGACGCUAAUACCGCAUACGUCCUACGGGAGAAAGCAGGGGAUCUUCGGGCCUUGCGCUAUCAGAUGAGCCUAGGUCGGAUUAGCUAGUUGGUGAGGUAAUGGCUCACCAAGGCGACGAUCCGUAACUGGUCUGAGAGGAUGAUCAGUCACACUGGAACUGAGACACGGGCUAGACUCCUACGGGAGGCAGCAGUGGGGAAUAUUGGACAAUGGGCGAAAGCCUGAUUCAGCCAUGCCGCGUGUGUGAAGAAGGUCUUCGGAUUGUAAAGCACUUUAAGUUGGGAGGAAGGGCAUUAACCUAAUACGUUAGUGUUUUGACGUUACCGACAGAAUAAGCACCGGCUAACUCUGUGCCAGCCGCCGCCGUAA
rnacentral:rRNA from 1 species